GAUUAUUGAAUCGCAGGCGGUGCCAUAAAUGCAUGCUAUAUGAGGCAGUCUCGCGUGUAAUUGGGGACAUGUGCGUCCGCCUGGGGGUACCGCUCACUGUUCGGAGCAUCUCGCUUCUGCUGGAUAACGCAAUCCAUGAGGCACUACUAGAGGCGGCGUGCCAGCGAAUGGUCGAGGAAGGCAAACUAAUCCAGGUUGACAAGGACUCUUACACAACGCGCAACAUGCGCUUCGCGUGCCGCGUCAACCUGCUGAUCAGUCGUGAAUACCAGCGAUUGGGCAUGACACUACUGCACACAGACGAGGACUCGGAGGUGCGGUACAUCCCCGCCGGCGCAGAGCACCGUUUCUUUGAGGUGAAGCCGUCUUCCAUUGGCGCCCACGCUGGCCUCGGCCUUUUCCUGCGCUCAAGCCGGCGCGUUCCGCAAGGCUGCGUACUGUGCGAGUAUCGCGGCCGCACCCUCACCUCCGCAGCCAGCAGCGCGGCGAAGGGUGUGUACGUCGUGCGAGUGCGCUCCAGCGGUAUGUUCAUCGACGGUGUCACAGCCACCGGCGAGCACCUGUCACUCGCCACCUUCAUCAACGACCAUGGACCUCUGAGGGCGAAUGCGCAGCUGAUGGAGUACGACUCGCACUCCGGUCGUGUGUUCAUUGUUGCGAUCCGGGACAUAGCCCCUGCUGAGGAGAUCUUUGUCGUGUAUGGCGCCACGUACUGGGGCUUCUCGUCCUACGAGGAACUGAAAGAGCACUUAGUGCCGCCGUCUACGCCUGUUUCCAAGGCGACGACAGCGCUGAGCCAGGCGACCACAUGCCGGAGGUGUGGCGAGGUCGUGCCAUGGCGGGCUCUGCGGCUCCACAGCGACGUCUGUGGUGACCCGCUCACGUCGACGUUGCUCCUAAACCUUGACUGUCUUCCGCGAAGCGAGUACACGGCUGUCUGCACGGCUGGUCGCAUACUUGCUGGUGAGCGUGUGCGUGCCUUUCACAAGGCAACGUCCCUCGUGAGCCUGUCAGACCCGCAGACGUUGGCGCACACCUUCGAGGAUAUUGUGCAGGAUCUGGAGUUUUGCUUCACCGACGACGCCGAGGGGAAGGGCUCGUCGUAGCGGCCGGGCGACUAGAAGGCAGAAGAAAGGUGGGCAUUGCACGACGCCCUUCUCGCGUGCGUGCUCCUGUGGCGGAAGGCGGGGCACAGGAUGCGGUUGAGUGAUGCUCGUCGCAAAAUGAGGGCAGCUGGGGUGGGUGGGCGGCUGGGCGGGUCCCGCGUUCUUCCUGGUUUGUCCUCUUGCGCAGAUGCAAGGACGAUUGCGAGGCUCCUGCGCCUAAAUGUUGAUGCAGCGCCUGCCACGGUGGCUUCGCCUCAACACACAACGUACGUGAAACAGCUCUACUUUGUCUGUGAGCAAGCUGACGUUUUUUAUAGGCAGCGAUGCAGAAGGCCCGUGUGAAUGGACGGUGCGUUUGCUGCGUCUUUGCCUUUUAGCCUCCUAUCCGCCCACUCCGACCAUGCAGCGUGCGCUCUCUGCUUGCUGGCGAAAAGAAAAAGGCGCUGCCGUGUGUCCUGCGCUGACAGGGUAAGCGGGCGGUAAGGCGAGACAUGACGUGCUGGAGCAUCUCGAUCUCGUGUCCUUUGCGUUAUUAUCCACAUGCAUAUCCUUUUUCGCCGUGUCCUCUUUCAUUACUGUGUAUCAUGAUCUGUGCCUGGACGCUUUAUUCUUCGCCAG
rnacentral:misc_RNA from 1 species